CCUACGGGAGGCAGCAGUGAGUAAUAUUGGUCAAUGGGCGCGAGCCUGAACCAGCCAAGUCGCGUGAGGGAGUAAUGCCCUAUGGGUUGUAAACCUCUUUUGUCGGGGAGCAAAAGCCGGACGUGUCCGGCUGUGAGAGUACCCGAAGACAAAGCAUCGGCUAACUCCGUGCCAGCAGCCGCGGUCAUACGGAGGAUGCGGGCGUAAUCCGGAUUUAUUGGGUUUAAAGGGUGCGCAGGCGGAUGUUUAAGUCAGCGGUCAAAUCGUGGGGAUAAACCCCAUCCAGCCGUUGAUACUGGGGAUCUAGAGUGUGCGAGAGGUAGGCGGAAUGCGUGGUGUAGCGGUGAAAUGCAUAGAGAUCACGCAGAACUCCGAUGGCGAAGGCAGCAUACCGGCGCCCUACUGACGCUGAGGCACGAAAGCGUGGGUAUCGAACAGGAUUAGAUACCCGGGUAGUC
rnacentral:rRNA from 1 species